rnacentral:ncRNA from 1 species
GGGUAGAGGAGCUGUUAAUUAAGAGUAAUCAUCAAGAGCUGGCAAGUGUAGAAGGAUGAUGAAAGGGAUUAUGGCCGAAGGAGAUAAGUUGGCGGACUUGUUUCCUGGUCUUUCAUAAAAUAUAUGGAGGAUUGUCAUCAAGAUUUUUCUUGAUGGAGAGCUACAA